UGGGGAAUAUUGCACAAUGGGGGAAACCCUGAUGCAGCAACGCCGCGUGAGUGAAGAAGUAUUUCGGUAUGUAAAGCUCUAUCAGCAGGGAAGAAAAUGACAGUACCUGACUAAGAAGCCCCGGCUAACUACGUGCCAGCAGCCGCGGUAAUACGUAGGGGGCAAGCGUUAUCCGGAUUUACUGGGUGUAAAGGGAGCGUAGACGGCUGCGCAAGUCAGAAGUGAAAGCCCGGGGCUCAACCGCGGGACUGCUUUUGAAACUGUGUAGCUAGAGUGCAGGAGAGGUAAGUGGAAUUCCUAGUGUAGCGGUGAAAUGCGUAGAUAUUAGGAGGAACACCGGUGGCGAAGGCGGCUUACUGGACUGUAACUGACGUUGAGGCUCGAAAGCGUGGGGAGCAAACAGG
rnacentral:rRNA from 1 species